GGCUGGUGCAAGUACAGUGUUAAUUGAUCACAUCCCAUUACAGAUUGCUGUGUUCUUUCUCCACUCCCACUGCUUCACUUGACUAGUCUUUA
ensembl:Y_RNA Y_RNA Y RNA